rnacentral:misc_RNA from 1 species
AAGUCGUAACAAGGUUCCUGUCAGGUGAACCUGCGGAAGGAUCAUUACCGAGAUGGGGUCCUUCGGGGCCCGACCUCCAACCCAAUGUCUACCGUCCUUGUUGCUUCGGCGGCGCCGCUCUCGGUAUGACCCAGAGAUGGGACAUUUUCGAGACCGUCGGCUCCUUUUUACCGGGGGGCUUUCGAGUGCCCGCCGGGGGAUUAAGGACACAAACUCUUUACGAACCCGAUUCUUAAAUAUUUGAUUUUUAAUAAACUUCAAAA